CGCCAAGUUACCGAUGGAUCUCCAACUCUUCAAGUAAACAUCACUGGAAGUCCAGAGUAAGGUGGGCCAUGGGUCCGGCGUGGGAACAUCGACGACGAUCGUAACUGAAGUGAUCGGCGGAGCCUGGGUACGAUGAGCGCAGGCUACAAAGACUGACACGUGAUCUACCUGCUGCUUGAAAGAAGUACUGCAGAAAAGCAGGUAUUCGAUCAACCACCCGUCAACACGUACCAUCACAGCGAGGGCUCCCAGGAAGGUCACAUUCUUGCACACGGUUGUAACGCCCAAUAAGAGACGAUGACGACCGUUACGACAAAUGAAUCUAAGCUGGUGCUUCACAAACUCCUUGAACGAGCAGACCUUCUUUCCUACUACGACAAAUUUUUCGAGA